GCUCCACCAGUGUUGCCUCAAUCCGCCAGCCUUGUCUGGAUCUAUUCACCCCACGGAGCCUCGAAUUAAUAACCCUCCGUGCUAUUCCGGUGAGCCUACCAAGUGCCGUUCUUUUCUAACCCAAUGCGAGGUUGUGUUAUACCUCCAGCCGUCAACCUAUUCUGGAGACCGGGCAAGGAUCACCUAUAUUAUCUCUCUUCUCUCCAGACGAGCUCGCCAGUGGGGAACGGCAGUCUGGGAGGCCAAGGCCGUGUGCACAGAGCGCUUUUCCCUCUUCAAGGAGGAAAUGAUCCAUGUCUUCGACCGGUCUGUCUACGGGGAGGAGGCCUCCCGCCUCUUGUCUUCUCUCCGCCAGGGUAAGCGAUCUGUUACGGACUUUUCUAUUGAGUUCCGCACAUUGGCAAACUCCUGUGGCUGGAAUGAGCUGGUGCUGCUCGCUUUCUGGAAGGUCUCAACGGUGAAGUAAGGGAUGAGAUUUUGUCCAAGGAGGUCACUACUCGUCUGGAUUCACUGAUUGACUUAGCAUUACGCAUCAAGAAGUGUUUCGACCUGCUCCGCCGCGCUCGAGGUCUGGAGUCUGCUCUACUGGCUUCGCUACCCUCCCACUCUUCUCAUCCAAACCUGAGGCCAUGCAACUGGGCGGCAUCCGCAUAUCCUCUACGGAGCAAGAGCGAAGAGUUGUCAAUCGUCUUUGCAUGUAUUGCGCUUCACCUGUGCAUUUUGUCGCCGUGUGUCUGUUAAAAGCCAGAGCUCGUCAGUAAGGGGAGGGCUACUGGCGAGCGUAACCACUCUGGUCUCUCCUCCUAACUCCUGCACCACCUUCACUAUCCAUCUUCACUGGCCUGGUUCCUCUACCUCCUGCAGGGCCCUGAUUGACUCUGGGGCCAAGGGCAAUUUCAUGGAUGAGUCAUGGGCUCGCGCACAAGGUGUUCCACUGAAGGAGUUAGAUGCACCCUCUGCCCUAUUUGCUCUAGACGGAAGCUCUCUCCCGAGGGUUAACCAUGAGACUCCACCCUUAACUCUCACUAUCUCCAAUAACCACUGAGGACCCAGGUGAUUUUUCUGGGGUGCUGGAGGAGUAUCACGAUCUGCGGAUGGUGUUCAGCCGUUCUCGGGCCGCUUCUCUCCCUCCUCACAGUCCCUAUGACUGUAGCAUCGACCUUCUCCCGGCUCGAGCUCGAGGCCGUGGGGAAGAUUCGCGACCUGGAA